ACAAAUAGAUAAUGAUAAAUAGCGGUUGUAAAUCGAAUAAAACUGAGGGAAAAACAAGAAUUUUUUAAAUUUCAAUUAACUAUAUUUUAAAUAUGUAAAACAAAGAAUAUUUGGCAGUAUAAAUCCACAAUUUUUCUCUAACAAGACUAGAUUCUAUAUGGAAAAUUAAUAUGAAUAUAUUGUAAAUGAGUUACGGAUCUAAAUUGAACAUCCACACAAAUCUCUAUUACUGCCUAAU
rnacentral:misc_RNA from 1 species